rnacentral:lncRNA from 10 species
AAUGGAGAGAAGAUGUCAGGGAAGAAUGCAAGGCCUCUUGGGAUAGGACACUUCAAUGCCUGCCUUGAUUCAGGCUAAGUUGCCACCAUUUCACCCCCCGUCGUAUUUGUGCCAUCAUUGCAGAUGCCAAUGCAGUGGGAAGGGCAAAUGACAGCUUAGUGUUACUAUGAAGGUGGGUUUGGUCAGGUGUGCCAGUUGAGAUGAUACUACACAUGUGACAUAGUGACCACAGGAGUAACCUAGCAGCCGGUAGUGCCCACAAAGUAUUUUUCCUAUAUUAAAAUUCCAAACUUCUAAAAUCUGACUACUAAAAUGCAAUACAAUUACUAUCGUGAAAAAUGUUUAAUAAAAUUUGAGAUUUACUUUUGUAUCCCAGAAUUUACAUUUUAUGAUGGUGAUAUUUAGCUUGGGGACCUCAAUGAUCUGAACACUUAACCAUUUGACUUUGGGUUCAAAUUCAUAUACAGUGGACUUCUAAAAAAGGAACAGUAUGAAGUAUACACAAAAACACUGAAAAUGAAAAAUCAAACUCAGAAAACUUUCCCUACUUGAGAACAAUACUUAACUUUCGACAGUCUACAAUUUGUAUCAAGACCCUACUUAUGAACCAAUGUAGAGCUGUAAGACAAAAAUCCCUACCUUAUUUUACAAUUCCUACGACAGAGGUGAGGCAGACAGUGACAGAAUACACUAAACAGCAACCACUGAGCCUCGGCAUGAGUCACAGAGCUGUCCAUGUACAAAGACAGCAGACCAAGCACCUCCCGUCUUCCCUACACCCUUCCUAUACACAGCUCUGUUGCGCUUGGCACUAUUACUGCUAAACCAAAAUUACAGUUCAGUGAUCAGUUAAGUCACUAAGAGGAAAUUCCAUCCGUGGAAAUGCCGGCGCCUCAACAUUUAUGAAGGAUAUAUUCUGAGACAGGAUCAUCCAAUUCCUAAAAACUACUAUAGCAUAUAAUUUAUCCCCCAAAAUUAAUUUAAAGCAACAGAUAUAGCCAUGUUAAGAUGCAAAUGCUCACUCACCAGCUCAAGGGUUCUCAGCCCAGGAUGUACAUCAGAAUCACCUGGAGAGCUUACAGAAACUCUGGAGCAGGUUAACUAAGGGAUGGAAUCCGGACAUCACAUUUGGUUUGUUUUUAUAAACCCAUGCAGAUUUCUCAGGUGCAGCCAGGGUUAAGAACGUCUGCACUAGUUAAAUGACUUGUGCCAGCACACAGGCUUUAAUUGAAUGAAGUGGUCACAACCAAACUUUGCUGCUAAACAGAGCUGAAUUGAGUCCACUAAGUACCAGCUAUGCAUCUUUAGGAAAAUUGACAUGUUUGAACCCGAAUCCUCACCUGUAAAAUGGGGAAACACCAAAAGCGUGGCUGUGAAGAAGAAAGUAACGCAUAUAAUGCGCUUUGCACAGUGUCAGGCACUGAAUACAAGCAACUAAUAAUCAUCAGUAAUGUGACUAAUCCCUUCAUGCCAUAGAUGGUCCAGUUCCUGGCAAGUAGCUAAAACUGUAAAUGUUAAAUCCCUGAAUGCACGACCAUGGGCAAGAUAAUUCCCUCCCAUCUUCC